rnacentral:rRNA from 1 species
AACGAACGCUGGCGGCAGGCCUAACACAUGCAAGUCGAGCGCGCCUUUCGGGGUGAGCGGCGGACGGGUUAGUAACGCGUGGGAAUAUGCCCUUUGGUACGGAAUAGCCUCUGGAAACGGAGAGUAAUACCGUAUGAGCCCUUCGGGGGAAAGAUUUAUCGGAUUUGGAUCGGCCCGCGUUAGAUUAGAUAGUUGGUGGGGUAAUGGCCUACCAAGUCUACGAUCUAUGGCUGGUUUUAGAGGAUGAUCAGCAACACUGGGACUGAGACACGGCCCAGACUCCUACGGGAGGCAGCAGUGGGGAAUCUUGGACAAUGGGCGCAAGCCUGAUCCAGCCAUGCCGCGUGAGUGAUGAAGGCCUUAGGGUCGUAAAGCUCUUUCGCCUGUGAUGAUAAUGACAGUAGCAGGUAAAG